rnacentral:rRNA from 1 species
AAACAAAGGGAGGCGAAGCAGUGAUGUGGAGCGAAUCCCAAAAAUAACGUCCCAGUUCGGAUUGCAGUCUGCAACUCGAGUGCAUGAAGCUGGAAUCGCUAGUAAUCGCGAAUCAGAAUGUCGCGGUGAAUACGUUCCCGGGUCUUGUACACACCGCCCGUCACACCAUGAGAGUCGGGAACACCCGAAGUCCGUAGUCUAACCGCGAAGGGGGACGCGGCCGAAGGUGGGUUCGAUAAUUGGGGUGAAGUCGUAACAAGGUAGC